rnacentral:lncRNA from 1 species
GCCUACCUGGGGCAGCUCCGCCAGGACGCGGUCCCUCCGCACGGGCGCCAGAAUGUUCAUCUUGUCUGCGGCCUUGCGGGGCUCCCCGGGAAGGCGCAGAGGCCUGAUCCGCCCCGGCGGCCGGGACCCGUGGAGACCCGACGAUUAUCCGCGGCCGCGGGGUACCGACAAUCACCCGGGGCCACGGAGAGCCUGUGGGAGCCCUCGGCCUUGGAGACGCUACGACCACCGCGGGCCAAGGGGACGAGACAAUCACCCCGGGUCUGGGAGAGCCCACAAUCACCCGAGCCCGGGGCGUCCCGAAGACCACUCGGGGGCGGGGAGAUCCCCCGGCCGCUAGUUGUGGGCGGGGAGUCGCGUCCCGGGGAGCCCGGGCCCGCGCGGAUCCUACAAUGACACGGGGUCGGAUAGCCCCUACGAUAACCCGGGGCCGCGGAGACCCGACGACAACUCGGGGCUGGGAUGGCCCUACCAUAACAGAGAGGCCUGGGGGGGCUCGGGGCCGCCCCGCCACACGGGGUCACUUUGCGCAGGGGCAGCAACUGCCGACGCCCUCGACCGGUGAGAGGAGGGGGCGACAACCCUAGACGCGCAGCGAGGCCCGCCGUCCCACUCUGCGAGCGUUGCAACACGAUCCCCGGAAAUUCCUGGAGAAGGGCCGCCCCCUGCCCCGCACCCCGUCGCUCCCGGGUUUGCAGCCGCCUUCAGCGCGGCCCUCGCCAACCCCCUCCUCUCCUCUCCUCCUCGCGCGCUGCCCGGGCUCCAGAUGCCCUACCCAACGCCAGGACCGCCUACACCCAGACUGGAGCCUUUCCAGACUGGGAUCCCUUAAGUCUCUCCCCUCCAUCUCCCUGUUGGAGCCGCGUCUUCCCCGGGACCACUUACCCAACGGAACUGGUGAUGGGGAACCCGUGAUUGUAGCACAGCAUCUGGCAAGACCCGGAGCCGCCGAGGGGAAAAGGGGGAGAGAAGGGGCCCAAGGAGAGGCGGUGCUUCCCUCCACGACUCCAGGCCUGGCACAUGACUCAUAGAGUCUGCCCCUGCUCGCCCUUCUGCCCUGGGAGGUGAGAGGGAUCUCCUAACGGGGGUGUCAAGAUCUGAACGAGGUGUCCACUAAGGACCAGACGUCCCAGAUCUGUUGACUUCUCCCGUCGAGCCUCCUUCCAUGAAAGAUAAAGAAGUGUUAGGUAGACUGUGAAACUUCGUCUUUUGGCGUGGUCACUCACCACUAUGGGAUUGCAGAACCCUGCUUCUAAUACGGAUGAACAUUUUCUAGCCGGAAUAGAACAGUCAAAACCAGAACAGCUUUUCCUUUUUGUACACACACACCGCCCGCGCAAAGAAGAAAUUGAUAUAUGUUUAUAUGUUUGGAGCUAAAUUUGAAGAUACAAAAAUGAGUGGAAUACAGUAUUAGAAGGGGAAGACUAGUUCAGGAUUGAGGACUAUGAAAUUAUUCACAAGAAAAACUAGAGUAAGAGAAAUCACAGCUGUCUCAGCUGUGGCUAAAACUACUUAAGGAUCAUUACUGGCGUCUAGCACGGGGGCUGACACCUGUGGUUCUAGCACUUAUGAGGCUGGGGACUUUACUUUAAAGCCAGCCUGGACUACAGAGUAUGACUUUUGUCUUUUUUUUUUUUUUUUUUUUUUUUUGGUUUUUUUCGAGACAGGGUUUCUCUGUAUAGCCCUGGCUGUCCUGGAACUCACUUUGUAGACCAGGCUGGCCUCGAACUCAGAAAUCCGCCUGCCUCUGCCUCCUGAGUGCUGGGAUUAAAGGCGUGCGCCACCUUGCCCGGUGACUUUUGUCUUAAAAUAAAUCUGGAUGUGAUGCACUUGGAGGCAGAGGUAGACCUUUGUGAGUUUGAAGCCAACCUGAUUUACUUAAAGAGCUCCAGGCAAUUCAGAGUUGUGUUGUGAGGUCCUGUCUCAAGAACUAAGAGGAGGAGGAGAGGGAGGAAGAGGAGGAGGAGGAAAACAAUGAUUAGGUUUGGAGAGACAGUUCAAGAAGGCUCAGAGGUUAAGAGCACUGACUGCUCUUCCAAAGGUCCUGAGUUCAAAUCCCAGCAACCACAUGGUGUCUGACAAUCAUCUGUAACAAGAUCUGACUCCCUCUUCUAGAAUGUCUGAAGACAGCUACAGUGUAGUUACAUAUAAUAAAUCAAUCAAUCAAAAAAAAAAGUAAUUAAGAACACUUGCUGCUGAUCUUAUAGAGAUCAGGGUUUCUGCUCCGACCUGUACCCCGAGUUCCAGGGGUUUAGACACACUCUUCUCUCCUCCUGCACCAAGCAUGCAUGUGCUACACAGUUUCAUGCAGGCAAAACACUCAUACAC